rnacentral:lncRNA from 1 species
UCCAAUGUAAAUUCUCUAUAUUUUAUCCAUGUACUCUUUUGAUGUAUAGAAGUAGUUUGAAACUCAUUGUUUCCUUGUGGUAACUGACCGAGAUGCUGCCACAGGACCUGAGACACUGAUGAAUGGUGCUAUUUUGGACUUUCAACAUGCUCCUUGGCGAGGUAGCUCUGAUGGAGUUAUUUUUUAUUUCCAUGUUCUAAGAAGGUGUUGGUACUCUGUUUCCCUGAAUGUUGUUCUCUAGACUGGAUUGACUUGUUUUCCUUGUGUCUUCAGUGUGGCUUUCUUCCUCAGUGUUGUAGGUUGAGUGAAUGCUACCAGAGUGUGAGAGACGAUUGUCUCGUCGGCUGGCACCCACAGACAUGCAGUCACGGUAGUGGGAGCAAUCACAAAACUGUAAUUUACUUACCAAAACACUGGCAUCUGAGUAGGAAUAUGAAAAUGACACCUUUUCCAAAUAUUAAAUUGGAAAACAAUGUCUACAAAAUCAUGGUACUUUUUUAAAAGGCAGAGCAUUCUUUUUUGGCAAUUUUGAUAAGCAAGGUGUAGAUUUACAUCUUUGUCCUUGCUCCCAACGAAAUGGAUAAACAAAAAUAAAUUACCAUCUACUCAUGGAAUGUUGUUGUGUUAGCCAGUCUGAAAGCCCACCUUAAUUUUUAUAUAACUGUCUUUUAGCUCUUCUUUUGACAGGGCAGGCCUUGUUCUGAACUGUUUCGCUUCUGACUGUUAAACACCGAUGACGCAUGCACUGCACUUCUUUGUUUUCUUCUUGCUCCCCCAUUGGCCUGAGUUUCUUGUGCAUUACUCCUCUCCCUCCUUUGUUAGAAUAGGUAUAUCAGCUGUGUAAAUAGAGCAAGAAAACAGUAUUCUGCAUCUGUGGCAUUUAUGUAUUUUAGCUAUUUUAGUAGUAUUUGUUCAAUAAAUAUGCAAGCUGUAAGGUAAAAAAAAAAAAAAAAUUAAAGCAUGAUUACAUGGGAGUGUUGCUUCCCAUGU